rnacentral:lncRNA from 1 species
AAACUAAAAAGAGUUUAUUUGAAGACAUACAAAUGCAUAUUUAUUAUACACAUGUAGGCAUUAACAAUGUAAAUUACACCGCCAGCAGUUGCUGGUUGUUUAUUCAUUAGAUCUUUAGAAAAUCUACAUUGCCUCCAGUCAGCGGGAUGAUAAUGUGAAAUACACAAGCAGUUUACAUAACCAACUUCGAAGCAGAGCUCCGCGCUCAGUGAUUGGGAGUCAUCAACAGGUCGCGGGGAUCCGGACGCGAAACCCUAAGUAGCUAAUAAUUACCGAAGAUCUGGGGCGCCAGCUCCCUCAGUCCUUUUGAAAAGGGGCGAAGGACGUGGGAUGUGGGAACAGGGAAGGAUCUGAAUAGCUACGUAUGGUUCACCUAUUUUACCCUGUUUGUAUGUAUUUUUUGGGGGGGUGGGGUUCUUUGUUUUUUGCAAUUAAAGAAAAAUAAGGAAGAAGAGGAUGAACAGAUGGAACCGAAAGAUCAGUAGCCUCCCCAAACUCCGGGUAACCCGGUAAUCCAGUCAAAGACUAUGGAUUCAAACUGUUUUGGGGAGAGUGUGUGAAGUGAGAGGUGAAAGGUUUUCUUUACUGCUGGUGGGGUAAGAAAAGGACGCCUACCUCAGUUAAGGAAAACUUUCUGCUCCACCAAUCAAAUCGCGAUUGCCCCAUAAACAAAUGGUUAUCACUCCAAAGAAAAUCACCUGCUGGAUCACCCUUUUGGGAAUUAGUAAGUGCUCCGUAGUUCUGGAUUUACCAAAAAAAAAAUAAAAAAGAGAGAGAGAGAGAGAGACGGAGAAGAACUUAAGAGAAAAACUGCAGUGCAGAUGUAAUAUUUACAUGUAUAAAUAUUUCUAUAAAAAUAUAUAUUUCCAAAGUUCUUUUCCAAUAAAAAUAUUAAAUAAAUGACAGAGAAGUGAAGACUUCUUGCUAGGGUCGCUGUUGUUGGGGGUAGGUAGUGAAUAAUGCCGACUGCAAUUUCAAGUGCCAGUGUCUAAGAACUGCACCAAUGCUAUCUAUGAAUAGUCGACUUAAUGAUUUAUCCCACUCUCCUGAGCCACCCACUUACCACGGCCUACCACUACACAGCUAAGGUGUGUGGCUGAUGGGGUGGGGGUGGGGAUGUUUGAGUUUUCUGUUUCUUUCCUCCCUCCCUUUCUUUCUUCUUUCGAGUGGGCCGGCUGGGUACAUAGGAAAUGCACUGCCGAUCCUGGACACUGCAUUGCUGAGAAGGCAGCUAGUUUGCGGACCUAAAAAUCUGGUGUCCAUACUGCUGUGAAAAUUAAAACCAGAGUUUCUGAAAGAAGAGAUGAGGGUAGAGAGGGAGAGAAAAGAGGGAAAGAGAAAGCGAAAUAGAGGAUGCAGAGGAGGGUAGAUCUAUUUCUGGGGUGUCGGUAAGCCCUCGGGGCAAUCUGGUUUCCCCUACAUCUUGCAGUACACAGCUACCCGCCAAGAGUGAGCAAACGGAGUACCCGAAGUAGGGGCAGUGCUGAGGAAGAGGGUGUGCGGCUGGGGGUCGGCACCCCGCGCUGGACCCGCGAAGCAAAGCCCUUGUCCAGGUGAGACCCGCCUGAGCGAAAAGACCCGGCUGCCCGGGGGCCGCGAGCGUCUGCAGCGGUGCAAGCCCCGCCUCUUAGCCAUUCCUAACUGGGGGAGGCCAGUAAGGGAUCAGCCUCUUUCUUUCUUUUCUUUCUUUCUUUCUCAAACCCGCUUUGUGGGUGGCAGCUCAGCGGGGGAUGCAUGGAGACAAAAAACAAAAAGCCCAAACAGAGAGAGAGACGGAGAGAGAGAGGGAAAGGGGGAGAGAGAGAGAGAAAGAAAGAGAACAGAGAGACAGAACAGAGAAGGGGGGAGGAUAGAGAUAGAGACAGAGAAAUCAAAAGUUUUAACCUUCCCCGGAACACAGAGAAUUAUUAUUAUCUAAAGGCUGUUGUAGUCUUCAGCGAAAUCUGCUUCUGCCAUUAAGAAAACACAUACUGCACACAUCCACAGGGUUAAGCUCUCCUCCUCGUCAGCCUGAACAAACAAAGCAGAAGCGCGGGGUUUUAAGGCUGGAGACCUACAGGUUAUCUGGUUUCAAAACAAAUUAACAGGAAAAUGCACCAACAAAUAUUAUGGAUGCAAAAUAUUCUUCAUUUCAGAUAUUUUGUAGUUCCCCCCAGGAUCGAUUUCUCUCAAAUUUAUGAGUAAAGUGUAUUUAGUCUCCUACACAGGAUUCAUAUUCUACUGCAAACAAGAUCUUAUUUUUUUCUGGAUAACGCAUGCAAAGGAGGAUAAAGUUUUCCUACUAUUGGAAGCUUUAAAACACUUCACAAAGUUAAACAUCGCCUUCGUGUUUCUGCUUUCCUAAAAUUCCUCCCCCCAAAAAACAAACAAACAAAAAAAACAUUUUAAGAAUACCUAGCCAGAAAUACUGGUGCCCCCCCCCAUAUCUGAGCAAACAAGUAAUUCCCGACAAAGAAAAUUAAUAUGAAAAGUAUAGGGUGAUUUUUCUCCCCCUUCCCCCUUAAAAAAAAAAAAAAAGACCCUUUGCUCCACCCCGCUAUUAAACAAAACACAAUACCUUUUUCUGGGUGGUACUGCACAGAAGUUGAUUCAGUUUUGACAAUGUUGUUUAGCUAUCAUUUGCUAUUUUGAAUGAAUGGGAGCAAUCCCCCCUUUUACAACAUUUGUUUCCUAUUAUGGAGAGGUGCAGCAGUUGAGGGCAGACAUGUGAAAGUGGCUGUUUGAUUCUCUUUUUCAUCCCCCUGACCCUGCUUUUGUCCCUCCUCACCCUGGGAAUGUCACGCCUCGCUACUUCACUUUGAGAUGCUCGAGAAAGUGGCUUUGUUAUUCCCUUUUAGACAUACACGAAAUUGUUCUCAUUCCCCCCGCUGUAAAAGAUACUUCACAUCAGGACUCGGUUCACAAGUGCAAUGCAAUUUGGCUUAGUCCAACCUUUGUUCUGCUUGUACAAAUGAGCGAACAGUGCACACAUUAUACAGUUGAUCUACUGCUGUCUUAACCCCAGAGUUAGGGGCUGGGAGAAAAGCAAGUUAAUCCCUUCAAUACCAAGGUGGCUUUAGCAAUAUUUCCUCCAAUAAUAAUAAUAGAUUUGAAUUGCUUCUUCUAUUUCACACAGUGCAGAGCAAAACUUAUGGGGAGGGUUUAGCAGUAACAACAAAAAUCCUU